GCUUGCACCUUUCAAGCGAGUGGCGAACGGGUGAGUAACACGUGGAUAACCUGCCUCAAGGCUGGGGAUAACAUUUGGAAACAGAUGCUAAUACCGAAUAAAACUUAGUAUCGCAUGAUACAAAGUUGAAAGGCGCUACGGCGUCACCUAGAGAUGGGUCCGCGGUGCAUUAGUUAGUUGGUGGGGUAAAGGCCUACCAAGACAAUGAUGCAUAGCCGAGUUGAGAGACUGAUCGGCCACAUUGGGACUGAGACACGGCCCAAACUCCUACGGGAGGCUGCAGUAGGGAAUCUUCCACAAUGGGCGAAAGCCUGAUGGAGCAACGCCGCGUGUGUGAUGAAGGCUUUAGGGUCGUAAAGCACUGUUGUAUGGGAAGAAAUGCUAGAAUAGGGAAUGAUUCUAGUUCGACGGUACCAUACCAGAAAGGGACGGCUAAAUACGUGCCAGCAGCCGCGGUAAUACGUAUGUCCCGAGCGUUAUCCGGAUUUAUUGGGCGUAAAGCGAGCGCAGACGGUUGAUUAAGUCUGAUGUGAAAGCCCGGAGCUCAACUCCGGAAUGGCAUUGGAAACUGGUUAACUUGAGUGUUGUAGAGGUAAGUGGAACUCCUGUGUAAAACGG
rnacentral:rRNA from 1 species